CUCAGUCAGACCAACAGGACCCAGCCUAGACUGUGCUGGCAUGACGAUGAUUCAGGAAGGCAAGCCUGGAGCUGCUGGUGACCAUCUUUGUCAGUCACAAGGAAUAGCUUCCCAAGAAGGAAGGUGACAGCAGCACUCAGCCAUGGGAUGAAGACAUCAGUGACAUCAGGCUUAGGCCUCUCCUGGUACUCUGUUUUCUACAUAUCAAAUCUAAGACCUCUUGCAACCCACAACAGGACUAUGGAUGAGGGGCCUGGCUUUUUGCUCCACACUCUUGGAGGACACUGGCCAUAUCUCAGGCCCUUCCCCUGGGCAGCAUCUUGCCGAGUAACUAACAAAUCCACAAGCUCCAUGGCUGGAACUGAACAGGAGUAUUAAAGUUGCCAAGAAACGGGGUGAGGAAAAGAGGCAGGCUUGAACUGGAGAGUUGGUUCUCCUUCUACAGGAAGGGAUUGCUGGGGUGACCUGCUGGUCCUUCUGUGUGCUGGUGCACUUAGGUGUCAAGCAAGUGAAACCAAUCCCCAAGAUCCCUUUUCAGUUCUAACAUUCCAGAAGCUUCUAUUACCCCUGGGCUCCUCUUCAUUAUGUAUGGGGUGGGAUAAUUGAUUACAAUUCUCAUACUUGUC